UUGUGCAAGGACCGAAAAACGCUUGACAUGGACAAAAGAGGAGGAUCUUAGAUUGGUCAGCGCUUGGUUGAAUAAUUCAAACGACCCCAUCCAAUCAAAUUACAAGAAGAACGAGCAAUAUUGGAAAGAGGUUGCUGCUGUCUACAAUAGUACCACCCCUAAAAAUAGGGCAAGGCUAGUCAAGCAAGUGAAGGAUCGCUUUGGGAGAAUUAAGAAAAAGGUUGCAUGGUUUUGUGCGAGUUGGAAGGAGGCUAAUGCUUUGUAUGCUAGUGGAGAAUCUGAUGUAGAUUUAAAGAAGAGGGCAAUGCAAACUUAUGAGGAAGAUCACAAAGAAGAUGGUCCGUUUAUGUUUGAGCAUUGUUGGGAGUUUCUCAAAAAGCAACCAAAGUGGGACGCAUAUUUGGAACGCCUAGAAGAUCUGGAGCCAGAAAAGAGAAAGUUUAGCGUUGAUGAUGAAGUGGGGCAGCAUUUCACUCUAGAUGAUGCUCGAGAUGAACGACCACCGGGUGGCAAGCAAGCUAAAGAGCAGCGGAAACGAAAAAGAAAGGAUGAAAGUUGCAUAAUAGAUCUUGAAGAUGAGCUUAGCAAGUUCGUAGAUGCUCAGAAUGCAGCAAAUGAGGGACGCAAAGAGAUGUUAGAGACACAAAGGCGCGUGUCUAGUGAAAAUCUUGAAGCUCGGAAGCUUGCAUGCCUUGCAGCAAAAGAUCACAAGGAGUCUGUCAUGCUAGAGACAUACCGAUCGUUGAUGAUGCAAGACACAACUGGAAUGCUUGAAGAUGUGAGAUCAGAGCACGUGUUGGCAUUGAAGUGUUUUAGGGAGAGGUUAUUUGGCAAAACUGACUAAGUGCUUGAAGGUUGUUGAUGCAAAUGGUUAGCUGCUCCUUUCUACCGAAGUUCCAACUGUGGCUUUGUGCCUUUAUCAUCAUCAAGAUCAAACUACUAUCUUAUUUGCUGGAGACCAUAUUUAGUAUUUUGUUAGGCUAACGCUUUCUUCUAAAGAGUCAUGUAAUGUUGAAUUGUUGAUGUCAAGGUGCGGUGUGCCAUUAGUUUCUUGCUCAUUGUCAUCAAGAUCAAAAUUAAUUUCUAAUCAGUAUGGUGCUAUGUAGCAUUUGUU